UUUGCAAACUCUGCCUUUUUCAGAACAGGAAAAUAUUUUGACAAAAUUCAAAGGGAAGGAACUUGGUAAAAUAUUGAAGUCAUUGGGACAGCCAGCAUUUUUUGGGAAAAAAAAGAGAAACAAAUACAGACCCUCUUGGAUACAAUAAAGAGAGGACAGAUAUGCAUAAAUUUUCCCAAAGAGUUGGCAAAAUAACUCUCAAAGAUAAACUGGCCACAGUUGCGAGCAAUUUGGUGGCAGAAUAUGUGAUAGCACUGUUUACGUUAUAUCCAUAAGCAAUUGCAGUCAUGUUGGUUGUACCGCCACAUGAUUGCCUUUGCACCGAGAAGAAAGACUCAACUAGAUCUUGACUUAGUCGCUUUGGAAUCACAUAAUGGCUUCCUUGGAGGGAUUGGAUUUCAGGACUUCCAAUGAAUUUAACAAGUUCCUUAAAGCCGUUAAUUGAAACCUGCAAAGUCAAAGAAAACAGUUGGUCA